rnacentral:tRNA from 3 species
GACCCGUUAGCUCAGCUGGUAGAGCAAUUCCCUUUUAAGGAAUGGGUCGUUGGUUCAAAUCCAACACGGGUCACCA